rnacentral:rRNA from 1 species
CCUACGGGUGGCAGCAGUGGGGAAUAUUGCACAAUGGGGGAAACCCUGAUGCCGCGACGCCGCGUGGGUGACGAAGUAUUUCGGUAUGUAAAGCCCUAUCAGCAGGGAAGAAGAUGACAGUACCUGACCAAGAAGCCCCGGCUAACUACGUGCCAGCAGCCGCGGUAAUACGUAGGGGGCAAGCGUUAUCCGGAUUUACUGGGUGUAAAGGGAGCGUAGGUGGCAUGGCAAGCCAGAAGUGAAAACCCGGGGCUUAACCCCGCGGAUUGCUUUUGGAACUGUCAGGCUGGAGUGCAGGAGGGGCAGGCGGAAUUCCUGGUGUAGCGGUGAAAUGCGUAGAUAUCAGGAGGAACACCGGUGGCGAAGGCGGCCUGCUGGACUGUAACUGACACUGAGGCUCGAAAGCGUGGGGAGCAAACAGGAUUAGAUACCCUGGUAGUC